rnacentral:rRNA from 1 species
UACGAAGGGGGCUAGCGUUGCUCGGAAUUACUGGGCGUAAAGCGCACGUAGGCGGCUUCUUAAGUCAGGGGUGAAAUCCUGGAGCUCAACUCCAGAACUGCCUUUGAUACUGAGGAGCUUGAGUCCGGGAGAGGUGAGUGGAACUGCGAGUGUAGAGGUGAAAUUCGUAGAUAUUCGCAAGAACACCAGUGGCGAAGGCGGCUCACUGGCCCGGUACUGACGCUGAGGUGCGAAAGCGUGGGGAGCAAACAGG